rnacentral:rRNA from 1 species
GACGAACGCUGGCGGCGUGCUUAACACAUGCAAGUCGAACGGAAAGGCCCUGCUUUUGUGGGGUGCUCGAGUGGCGAACGGGUGAGUAACACGUGAGUAACCUGCCCUUGACUUUGGGAUAACUUCAGGAAACUGGGGCUAAUACCGGAUAGGAGCUCCUGCUGCAUGGUGGGGGUUGGAAAGUUUCGGCGGUUGGGGAUGGACUCGCGGCUUAUCAGCUUGUUGGUGGGGUAGUGGCUUACCAAGGCUUUGACGGGUAGCCGGCCUGAGAGGGUGACCGGCCACAUGGGGACUGAGAUAGGGCGCAGACUCCUACGGGAGGCAGCAGUGGGGAAUAUUGCACAAUGGGCGGAAGCCUGAUGCAGAAACGCCGCGUGCGGGAUGACGGCCUUCGGGUUGUAAACCGCUUUCGCCUGUGACGAAGCGUGAGUGACGGUAAUGGGUAAAGAAGCACCGGCUAACUACGUG